UACGACUACAUAUCAGGCAUAUCAAUAAGCGGAGGAAAAGAAACUAACUAGGAUUCCCUUAGUAACGGCGAGUGAAGCGGGAAGAGCUCAAAUUUGAAAUCUUCAAGGUUUUACCUUGACGAAUUGUAGUUUAAAGAAGUGUUUUCUGUUGAAGUUUUGGUAAAAGUUCUUUGGAAUAGGACAUCAUAGAGGGUGAGAAUCCCGUAUUUGACCAUUAUUUCCAGCUUUGUGAUACACUUUCAAAGAGUCGGAUUGUUUGGGAAUGCAGUCCAAGAUGGGUGGUAAAUUUCAUCUAAAGCUAAAUAUUGGCGAGAGACCGAUAGCGAACAAGUACCGUGAGGGAAAGAUGAAAAGAACUUUGAAAAGAGAGUUAAACAGUACGUGAAAUUGUCAAAAGGGAAGCGUUUGACACCAGUGUUGUUUUCACGAAAAUCAAUUAAAAAAAGUUGGAUUUUGUGUUGUAUUGACCUUAACAGCUUGCUUCACUCUUUUCCAGCUUUUUUUAAUGCACUUUUCGUUUAACAAGUCAACAUCAGUUUCUUUUGUUGUAAAAGGGUCAUUGGAAGGUGGCUUUCUCUUCGGAGAAAGUGUUUAUAGCCUUUGAUCUCUGCAAUCGGAGAGACUGAGGUCUGCAGCGUAGAUCCUUCGGGGUUAGAUACAUUUGUGCUAAGCUACAGCUUUUCAUAGACAACUUGUUGACUAUGUUUAGUCUUGUGACUUACCCGCUUAUGCUAUUUUACCUACGCUUAGGAUGUUGAGCGCAUGUCUCUCUCU
rnacentral:rRNA from 1 species